CCUACGGGAGGCAGCAGUGAGGAAUAUUGGUCAAUGGCCGAGAGGCUGAACCAGCCAAGUCGCGUGAGGGAAGACGGCCCUACGGGUUGUAAACCUCUUUUGUCGGGGAGCAAAGCGAGUCACGUGUGACUCAUUGAGAGUACCCGAAGAAAAAGCAUCGGCUAACUCCGUGCCAGCAGCCGCGGUAAUACGGAGAAUGCGAGCGUUCUCCGGAUUUAUUGGGGUUAAAGGGUGCGCAGGCGGAGGUGCAAGUCAGCGGUCAAAUUGCGGGGCUCAACCCCGUACUGCCGUUGAAACUGCAGCCCUUGAGUGCGCGAGAAGUAUGCGGAAUGCGUGGUGUAGCGGUGAAAUGCAUAGAUAUCACGCAGAACUCCGAUUGCGAAGGCAGCAUACCGGCGCGCAACUGACGCUCAUGCACGAAAGCGUGGGUAUCGAACAGGAUUAGAUACCCCUGUAGUC
rnacentral:rRNA from 1 species